rnacentral:lncRNA from 13 species
AUGGGCCCAGAGGGGGAGGAACUGGCCCUGGCCACACCCUUACCCAGUCACACAUACGACCCUGACGACGUGGCCUCCUAUGACACCUCCUUCCCCUCCCGCCCAACCCUCCCCCUGUCCUCCAGCCUCCUCCGACCCUAUACGUCCCCCACCUCCCCCCUCCGGGAGGGUCUCCCCUUUACUCACCCUGCCCAGCCUGAGGGAUACCCUCACUGGGAUGAAGAAGACUAUGACCUGGGGGACAUUUUUCCUCUGGAGCCCACGGAGCUGCUGCUGCCGGAUAUGAACAGUCUGGAGUACUACACUAAUCUGCUGGCCAGAGAGCGAGACGAGGAGAGGGAACGGGAGAGAGAGAGGGAAAGGGAGCGAGAACAGGAGAGAGAGAGGGAAAGGGAGCGAGAAUGGGAGAGAGACAGGGAAAGGGAGAGGGAUCGAGAUGGAGAAAGAGACAGAGAUAGAGAAAUUGUCAUCCCACCCCCAAAGACCACCCCCAAACUUGGCAUCACACCCACCACUACCACAAAAACACACAUACACACUCAGCCCCCAUCCCCCUCCCCUAGCACAGGGCCCCCUCCUGCCCGGGACCACAAGCACCCUCUUGUCCCCUCAGCAGGUCCCACCCCUCCCCUGACCCUCUCACCCACUCUCUGGGAGGGUCAGGGUACCUCCACCCCUGGAGUUAGACCCACCUCCAGAGUACCCCCUCAGCCUCCUGUUCGGCCCAGAGUCCCCCCAGCUACCCCUGGCAGACACCCUCCACUGCCCCCAUCUAACACAACCAGCCUGGCUCGCCCCCCCAUGCUGCGACCUCCAGGGAGGGAACCCAUAAAACCACCACCACCACCACCUGUGACCGAGGUCCCCAGCAACCGACCGACGACCACUACCAAGGCAACCACUGUUACCACGACAACCCCUGGUACCCUGGCGAGCAUCACCCGGACUCCCCCAGCCCCUCCAGGACGCCAGUAUCUGUGUAACGUCACCAAGCCUGACAUGUACCUGGUCAGAGUGGUCCUGCCAAAGUCUGGCUCCACUGUGGGCUUUGGCCAGGUCAGGGACAUCUUGAAGAGGGAAUUCAACCGCUCAGUGGAGUUGCAGGUAGGCCUACUAUCAAUACUCACUGGGGAAGCUUUGGGGAAAGAGCAUGAUUGUAAUCAUGAGAUGCAUUGCAGGAAUGUGCAAAUUUGCCCUUCACAAAUGUCUUGAAAGCCAAUCAUGCCUGGCUUCCUUCUCCACUCUCUCCCUCUGCUCUGCUCUCUUCUCCCUCACAACCUCCUCUCCUCCACUCUCUCCCUCUGCUCUCUUCUNNNNNNNNNNUCUCUCUCUCUCUCUCUAUAUAUAUAUAUAUAUAUAUAUAUAUAUAAUGUUCUCUCCCCUCUUCCUGUCCAGAGGUAUGCAGAGUUGGGGAUGUCUCCCUCGUCAAUACAAGGCCUGUCGCAGAGGUGAGACAGAUGUUACUAUACUACCCAAGCUGAAGUACAUUCGGUGAAUGUCAGCCUUUCUAAAAUCUGGUGUAUGUGUGUGUUUCAGGCAGGGCCUGGGUUCAGAGGCCUAUGUUACUGAAGAGGAGCAGUUGCAGGAUUCUGUCUACGCCAACAGGGGGCAGUAUGAAGAGCCUCCCUCCUCCUCCAGACCUCGGCCUGUUGGGGGAAGCACAGGUAAAGGCACCAUGGGUGUGUGUUAAUUGGGAUUAAUGUGUGUAGCUAAUGAUUAGUUACAUAUGGUGUGUUUGUGUUCUCAGGUGCNNNNNNNNNNGCACUGUAUAUAUAUAUAUAUAUAUAUAUAUAUAUAUAUAUAUAUAUAUAUAUAUAUAUAUAUAUAUAUAUAUAUAUAUAUAUAUAUAUAUAUAUAUAUAUAUAUAUAUAUAUAUAUAUAUAUAUAUAUAUAUAUAUAUAUAUAUAUAUAUAUAUAUACAGUGCCUUGCGAAAGUAUUCGGCCCCCUUGAACUUUGCGACCUUUUGCCACAUUUCAGGCAAUAACGCCCAAUUUUUCAGUUUUUGAUUUGUUAAAAAAGUUUGAAAUAUCCAAUAAAUGUCGUUCCACUUCAUGAUUGUGUCCCACUUGUUGUUGAUUCUUCACAAAAAAAUACAGUUUUAUAUCUUUAUGUUUGAAGCCUGAAAUGUGGCAAAAGGUCGCAAAGUUCAAGGGGGCCGAAUACUUUCGCAAGGCACUGUAUAUAUAUGAAUCAAUCCUGCUAUAGGACUCAUUGAGACCAGCAGGUCUCGAACGACUAAAAUGAACGAGUCACUCAGAAGUGAAAGAGAUUGAGUGAGUCGUUAAUUUACAUCAUUCGUUUGACCUGCUGGUCGCAAUGAGCCCUAUAGCAGGAUUGAUUCACGCUCCUCCGGCUCAGAGGCUCCAGAGACAUGGUGGUCAGACCACUUGUCUGUCAUAUAUUGGCACAAGGAAGUAGAUCAUGAUGCAGGCAGCAUAGAGAAGAAAAAUACAUGUUCAGAACUGAUCAUUGAUCUCCUGAAUGAACUGAAUGUUGUGAUGACACAGCUUUGUAGAACCAAAACAUACACCGCCUCUGCUCAACAAAUUUGUUUAGGGGGGGGGGCAGUUUGAACGAUAUUGUGGCAGUCAAGCAAUGCAUUCCCCCAGGAGUCGUAUGCCUAGCAAUCUACUAAAUAGACAUAGUUUAAAUCAAACUUUUACAAGUCUGUCACAAAAUG